AACCAAAACAUCAAUGGUUGUCGUGGUCUCUAGCCCAAUGGGUACACACUGUGUGGCAGACAUGCAGGAUAUGGAUACAUGCGUGGCAGCCCACAUAGCGAUCUGCGUGGUGACAUGAUUCAAUAGUCUGUAUGUAUAGGUUGUUCGUGCGAUUGGGAGGAUGUCACGCAUGGAUCGUGAUUGAGCAACUGUGGGCGUUUAUCACCCAAGUUGAUCCAACGGUUGGGAAGUCACUUCAUACAGAUCAUGAUCCAAUGGUCCACAUGUGUCAUGAUUAUGCAGCUAAGAUUUAUUUUAAUCAAGAUCGUGAUCUAAUGGUCUGUGUGUGUCACAAUUGUGCGCCCAUGAUUCAUUUUCAUGCCGAUCAUGAUCUAACAACUAGGAUUGCUUUUUGCUCACCCAAUCGAACG
rnacentral:lncRNA from 1 species